AGAAUGCAGAGGGGAGUUUGCUCUGGUUAGUGGCUCACACAUUGGGCUGACACGUGUCCCCUCUCACACUCUUAAAUAAAUUGUAAACUCUUUGAUACGGUGAGAACAGCAGCACUUCAUCUCUUCUGCUCAGGACUGGGCAGCCUGCUCCCACCUUUUUCUUUCAGCAUUUGAGUAUUUGUCACUCAAGACUGAGCAGCAUUGACUUCUUGUGUUUUUAUUUCUCCUCAGGAGCCAGAGCAAUUCCAGGAGACAUGGUGGGGUUUCUGGAAUUUCUCGUCGCUUGCCUCUUGCCAGCUGUGCUGUGGGCCAUUCACCUGGAGCAGCUACCAAUCUCCAUCACAAAGAAGUCACAUGUGGGCAGCAGUGCUGAAUUCACCUGCAAAGUGACUGGCGGAUCAGACUCUACCUAUAUCCACUGGUACCGAGCCCCAACUGGAGGGGCACUGCAGAGGCUGCUCUAUCUUUCCUACUCCAAGCCUGACCCCAGCUGGGAGGCUGGCUUCUCCAGCAAGAAACUCACCGCCCAUUUUCAAGACCGUAGCAUCUUCAAACUGUUGGUGCACAAGCUGGAAAAUGCAGACAGCGGCCACUAUUACUGUGCCACAUGGGAUUAUACACAGUGCCGCAAACCUCCUGGAGCCCUGCACAAAAAAACCCAACAACAACAAAACCACAUGGGCUCCUUGUCAUGUUACUGGUGCAGCAGAGCUGAGUGA